UGGGGAAUAUUGCACAAUGGGCGGAAGCCUGAUGCAGCGACGCCGCGUGGGGGAUGAAGGCCUUCGGGUUGUAAACUCCUUUCGACAGGGACGAAGCUUUUGUGACGGUACCUGUAUAAGAAGCACCGGCUAACUACGCGCCAGCAGCCGCGGUAAUACGUAGGGUGCGAGCGUUGUCCGGAAUUACUGGGCGUAAAGAGCUCGUAGGUGGUUUGUCGCGUCGUCUGUGAAAUUCCGGGGCUUAACUCCGGGCGUGCAGGCGAUACGGGCUGACUUGAGUGCUGUAGGGGAGACUGGAAUUCCUGGUGUAGCGGUGAAAUGCGCAGAUAUCAGGAGGAACACCGAUGGCGAAGGCAGGUCUCUGGGCAGUAACUGACGCUGAGGAGCGAAAGCAUGGGUAGCGAACAGGAUUAGAUACCCUGGUAGUCCAUGCCGUAAACGGUGGGCGCUAGGUGUAGGGGGCUUCCACGUCUUCUGUGCCGUAGCUAACGCAUUAANCGCCCCGCCUGGGGAGUACGGCCGCAAGGCU
rnacentral:rRNA from 1 species